AGGGAAACUUGAGCUAAUACCGGAUACGGUCGAGAGGCGAAAGAUUUAUCGCCGGAGGAUUGGCCCGCGUCCGAUUAGCUAGUUGGUGUGGUAAUGGCGCACCAAGGCGACGAUCGGUAGCUGGUCUGAGAGGAUGAUCAGCCACAUUGGGACUGAGACACGGCCCAAACUCCUACGGGAGGCAGCAGUGGGGAAUAUUGGACAAUGGGCGCAAGCCUGAUCCAGCCAUGCCGCGUGAGUGAUGACGGCCUUAGGGUUGUAAAGCUCUUUCGCUCGGGACGAUAAUGACGGUACCGAGAUAAGAAGCCCCGGCUAACUUCGUGCCAGCAGCCGCGGUAAUACGAAGGGGGCUAGCGUUGUUCGGAAUUACUGGGCGUAAAGCGCGUGUAGGCGGGCUUUUAAGUCAGGGGUGAAAUGCCGAGGCUCAACCUCGGGACUGCCUUUGAUACUGGAAGUCUUGAGUCCGGGAGAGGUGAGUGGAACUGCGAGUGUAGAGGUGAAAUUCGUAGAUAUUCGCAAGAACACCAGUGGUGAAGGCGGCUCACUGGCCCGGAACUGACGCUGAGACGCGAAAGCGUGGGGAGCAAACAGGAUUAGAUACCCUGGUAGUCCACGCUGUAAACGAUGGAUGCUAGCCGUUGGGGAGCUUGCUCUUCAGUGGCGCCGCUAACGCAUUAAGCAUCCCGCCUGGGGAGUACGGUCGCAAGAUUAAAACUCAAAGGAAUGA
rnacentral:rRNA from 1 species